AAUGAACGCUGGCGGUGUGCCUAACACAUGCAAGUCGAACGGCAGCACACUAAGUUCCUGCGGUUACGGAUUGCGAGUGGGGGGCGUGUGAGGAAGACAUCGUAAUCUACUUUUUCGUGGGAGAUUACGUAAGGAAACUUACUAUCAGAUCGCAUACUACCUUCGGUGCAAAUCAGGAGAGCUUUUUACCUUUCGCGUUUGAUUGCGGCGUAUUCGGUUUAGCUUGUGGUGGUGGCAAAGGCCCACCAAGCCGAGGAUCCGUAGCUGGUCUGAGAGGGUGAUCAGCCACACUGGAACUGAGACACGGUCCAGAAUCCAACUGCAGGCAGCAGUGGGGAAUAUUGGACAAGGGGCGAAAGCCUGAUCAUGCCAUCCCGCGUGGGGGAAGAAGGCCUUGGGGUUGUAGAGCCCUUUUGUUGGGAAAGAUCAUCGGCAGAUUAAUACAGCGCUGUUCUGACGGUACCCAAAGAAUAAGCACCGGCUAACUUCGUG
rnacentral:rRNA from 1 species